rnacentral:lncRNA from 1 species
AACUCCAUACGCGUCAUACACCUGCACCCGGGAGGAAAGGCGAGGCUCUGCAUCUAGAUUUACCUCGUUCUCUUUUGUCUCCGCUUUUUUUUCACAUUUCCUUGCGACCCUGGCCCUUGAGCGACAAAAAGGGGAAGCCAAGGCUGGCCCGAGGAACGGAGAGGGCACAUGGCCUAGCCACAAGUGGAGCUUCUGCUCCGCCCGAAGGGAUGCGCUGGAGCGGCCUCUUCCUUCUGCCACGGUCUUUCUUUGCCAACUAAGAUGGGGUUUCACCAGGUUAGCCAGGCUGGUCUUGAACUCCAGACCUCAAGGGAUCCGCCUGCCUCAGCUUUCCAAAGUGCUGGGAUUACAGGUGGAGACUGGACCUCAGAAGAGGGAGUGGGUGCCCCGAGAACUCACAGCUAGCGGACAGUGGAAAGGGCAGGAGCCGGACCAAGGUGAGGACAGUGGAACUGAAGGCCGCUGGUUACCUCUCCUGCCCUCCGCUGGCCACAGUGGAGAAGACAGCCCCUCCCUCCUGCUCUGACCUGACAGUGUUCAUCCAUCGCCCUGUAUUAGCGAAGAACAACAUCAAGCUGGCUAGCAAGGAACUGUAUACAGGGUCCAGCUGGGUAUCACACUGGAUCUCACCCAAAGCUUAGAUGUGAUCCAGCUCAGUAUCACAAAGCAGAACGAAAAGGAUGUGUUUGGGCUGAGAGGCCAUACAUUGGCUCCGGCAUGACGGGUGACUUCUUCCGAGUCUGGCUUCUGCAGCACACAGGGCUUCGCCAGCACCCAGCUCCUGCAGCAUGGGCAGCUCCUGUGACAGCAGGCGCCCGCAGCCUGCAAAGCGUCUCCAGUGCCGCCGCCUCAGUGAACCUCAACCAGCGGCACCUAGCAGCUUUCUCUGCCACCCUCUUCAGGUCUGGAUCUAAGCCCAGGGACCAGGAAACCUCUUGCUUGAGUGCUGGAACUCAGGCCAGAAGGCAGGAAGCCCGCCUGACCCCAUGUCUCAGGCUGCCAGAGGAGCGUGCGAUGAGGAAGGCUGGACUGUCUUCACAGGACACCAGGGAGAAGCCUCAAGCCACUGCCCCCUGACAAGUCGCAGCUCUCCAGCCUGUCUCCUCACUCCCCUCCCCUCCACAUGGGGGGGUUGGGGUGGGGGCGGGGAAGGUUCGGGGCAGGGGUCAUUUCAGCUACUGGGCACCAGUCUCCUCCUCAUGUUUAUCCUGUUCCCUUUGCUUGAAAGGUUCGUACUCCAGAUCCUUGUAAAACCGCUUCUCACCCUUUGAGUCUCAGCUUAAAUGUCCCCUCCUUGGAGGGGUCUUCCCUGACAAUGAAGCUCCGACCGUCCUCUCCUGUUUUACCCAGUUCAUUUCUUUCUGGCAUUUGUAACUACUUGAAGUUAAAGUGUGUGCCAUG